UACGUAGGGUGCAAGCGUUGUCCGGAAUUACUGGGCGUAAAGAGCUCGUAGGUGGUUUGUCGCGUUGUUCGUGAAAACUCACAGCUUAACUGUGGGCGUGCGGGCGAUACGGGCAGACUUGAGUACUGCAGGGGAGACUGGAAUUCCUGGUGUAGCGGUGGAAUGACGCAGAUAGUCAGGAGGAACACCGGUGGCGAAGGCGGGUCUCUGGGCAAGUA
rnacentral:rRNA from 1 species